AAGGGUUGGAAAGUAAUUCUCUGGCUUCGCUACCUACACACAGACCCACAAAAUUUUGAGGAUCCUAUGUGCUUUAACCCUGACAGAUGGAAUGAACCAGCGAAACCAGGAACGUACCAAGUAUAUUUGGUGGUGGAAUGAGAAUUUGUGCUGGGAACAUGCUUGCAAGACUUCAACUAGCAAUUAUGCUUCAUCAUCUGUCUACAGGAUACAAGUGGGGACUAGUGAAUCCAGAAGCGGCCAUGGUUUAUCUACCACAUAAAAAACCUGUAGAUGGGGUUGAGGUUUUCUUCAGUAAAUUGUAGGAAAAAGCAUUCCCAGUUUCAAGGAUUCUCUAGUCUGUAUUAAUGUGAAGUUACCAUCACUAGGGCG